GCGGGUGUAAUUCAGUGGUAGAAUGUCUCGUUGCCAACGAGAAUGUCGUGGGUUCAAAUCCCAUCGCCCGCU
rnacentral:tRNA from 1 species